rnacentral:rRNA from 1 species
UACGAAGGGGGCUAGCGUUGCUCGGAAUCACUGGGCGUAAAGGGUGCGUAGGCGGGUUUUUAAGUCAGAGGUGAAAUCCUGGAGCUCAACUCCAGAAGUGCCUUUGAUACUGAAAGUCUUGAGUACGGGAGAGGUGAGUGGAACUGCGAGUGUAGAGGUGAAAUUCGUAGAUAUUCGCAAGAACACCAGUGGCGAAGGCGGCUCACUGGCCCGUAACUGACGCUGAGGCACGAAAGCGUGGGGAGCAAACAGG